rnacentral:lncRNA from 1 species
AUGGCGGCAUCCGGAAAAUCUCUGAUGCUGCCGAUCGAGCUCGCCGCUGUUGGAUGGCACUGUUGGUUGGUAGCCGCUGGUGGGCUGGUGCCGGUGCUAGCUCUUUCAGAAACCUGCAGAGUGAUGCAGGAACGGAAGGGAGGAAAGAAACUUGAAAGUCCUGAACGAUUGGCGAACAAGGAUGGAAAUGGAAGCCUAACGUAUGAGGCGGUGGCAGUGACAUGCACUGAAAUGGAGCGGAAACGAAAUGUUCAAAGUUCUGUCUCCAUCUCUCCAAUAGGACCAAUACAAUCCGGUAUCAAUACCUUUCACUGAUAUUAGCAGA